rnacentral:rRNA from 1 species
UGGGGAAUAUUGGACAAUGGGCGAAAGCCUGAUCCAGCCAUGCCGCGUGUGUGAAGAAGGUCUUCGGAUUGUAAAGCACUUUAAGUUGGGAGGAAGGGCGGUUACCUAAUACGUAAUUGUUUUGACGUUACCGACAGAAUAAGCACCGGCUAACUCUGUGCCAGCAGCCGCGGUAAUACAGAGGGUGCAAGCGUUAAUCGGAAUUACUGGGCGUAAAGCGCGCGUAGGUGGUUAGUUAAGUUGGAUGUGAAAUCCCCGGGCUCAACCUGGGAACUGCAUUCAAAACUGACUGACUAGAGUAUGGUAGAGGGUGGUGGAAUUUCCUGUGUAGCGGUGAAAUGCAUAGAUAUAGGAAGGAACACCAGUGGCGAAGGUAAUCCCCUGGGCCUGUACUGACGCCCAUGCACGAGAGCGUGGAGAGCAAAC